UUUUUAUAUUUACCGAGUACCAAGCUCGGUGUGAAGACCCCUAAUAUAUUUCUUACAAUCAGCUUUCAAAGAUUAUAUUGAACAGAAACUUCGACUUUUUAUUGAACUUCAAUAGUAUAAUAUGUAUGCAUAAUCUAUAAAUCAUUGUAAAAAAAGGCUUCCCAGCUUGUAGGCUUGUAUUUAAUUAAAAAUAUUGUUAUCAACGUGUUUUUUAUUAGUACAUUUCUGUUUACUUUUUUGCAAUAAUAAUCGAUAUAACAGAAAUGCAAUGACAGUAGAGGAAAACAAUCGAUACUAACAAUAUAACCAUCGAUAGUAUCGGAUUUCUAGUUUUGCAACUAUGGGAACAGUGUCGCCGACUCUACUUGCCUUUGUUAAAAUUUGAAACAAAAUUUCCCUGUAUGGCAGUGGAUACAAAUAAAUCAACUAAAUCCUUCAUUUAACAAUAAUUUCUAUUAGCUUAAAAAAUAAGUAUCUUUUUACGUUAUUUUUUUAGCUCAUAUUUUCAUAGAGUAUUGUCGCAAGAGAACUGAUUAAUAUUUCUGAUUUAAGUUGUAUUAAUUAUAAAUAGCGCUUCAUAUAUAUAUGUAAGUAUUCAAAUUCAGGCUUCCUAAGUUUUUUACAUAUUCGUAUAAUUAAUAAUUCAUUAUCGACAUUGGGUACGUCAUCUGUUUGAAUGAUGUAUGCAUGAAAAUAUUAUAUCGAUGAAAUGUCCCCUUCAUUUGUAAAUAGCCCCACAAAAGGGAAAUUUCCAUGGCUUAACAACACUGCUUGGAAACAUAAACAAAGUGGCAAAAAUUGGCAGAAACUAUAAAAUGAAGUGAAGUGAAUUACAAAAUAUGCGGCAUUCCAAAAGUUUACGUGCGGUCAUAAAAGCGAGCUACGUAUGUUGCUACGAAGCUCUGCAAUUGUUUAUUUGUGCACAAGUUGGAGCGAUUUGCAAUGGCUUGGAUAAUAAGUGUAACCCCGCUACCUGAUCGUCCUCGCCAGCGAUAUGCUCGAAAAAGACACACCCUGCUAUUUCAAGGAUCAACGCGAAGCAAGCGCAUUUCGCUUUACCUCCAUUGCUCCAUCCAGCCUCAAUACGGUUCGUUUAAACUUACACCACUCACAGUGAAGAAGAGAAGAAGGAUGCAACCGGCAAGGAUACUACAGUUUCUAAUUCGGUUUCUAUAUUCCCAACAGAGAACUACGAUCCCAUCACAACGCCAUCAACUCCAGAAUCGGCAUCAAAUAAUGCAAUCGCUUUGCAGUGCAUGAAUGCAGCAGAAGCCAUUA